GUGUCUAUUUUGUAAUGGGGUAUAUUUCACAAGAAUGAAAAGGGGUUGUUGAGGGAAAAAAACAUGUAGCGGGUCGGGAGUUUCCCCCCGCCUCCACUACACGAGAUUGCACAAAGGGGUGUGUGUAAAUAGCGAAAUAUUUUUCACUGAUGAUCCUUCCGCAGGUUCACCUACGGAAA
rnacentral:misc_RNA from 1 species